AUACGUAGGGUGCGAGCGUUGUCCGGAUUUAUUGGGCGUAAAGAGCUCGUAGGCGGUUUGUCGCGUCGGCCGUGAAAACCUACAGCUUAACUGUGGGCUUGCGGUCGAUACGGGCAGACUUGAGUUCGGCAGGGGAGACUGGAAUUCCUGGUGUAGCGGUGAAAUGCGCAGAUAUCAGGAGGAACACCGGUGGCGAAGGCGGGUCUCUGGGCCGAUACUGACGCUGAGGAGCGAAAGCGUGGGGAGCGAACAGGAUUAGAUACCCUGGUAGUCCACGCCGUAAACGGUGGGCGCUAGGUGUGGGGACUGGUUCCACGGUUUCCGUGCCGUAGCUAACGCAUUAAGCGCCCCGCCUGGGGAGUACGGCCGCAAGGCUGAA
rnacentral:rRNA from 1 species